CGGAAAUUGAUAGGCAAGAGAAAAAGAAUAUUCAAGGUAACACUCAAAACUUUUCUUAUUCUCACACAAACUAAUACAAGAGAAAUCACUCAAACACUCUUGGAAGCUAUGAAUGCUUCUUCUACUUAUUUUCACUUUAGAGAGCCUUCUUGUCUCUCUUACUUCUUCUUCUUCUUUCUCACUUCUCUUUUCUUCUUCUUAUAUCUUACAUUACAACACACUCACCUAUAUUUAUAGGCAAGCAUAACCAACCAUACCAAGUGUGAAUACCAAGUGUGAAAUCAUCCUAGCCAUUAUUCUUGAUUCUCUUAAAGUAGCCCACCAACAUAGACUUUGCUUAUGAACAUAAUGAACAUAUGCCAUAUUCAUGCUAGAAUUGUCUAGCAUUUUCAAUGCAUGCACCGACCAUUCUAGAAGCAAGAUUACCUUUCAACAUCCCCCCUUAAUCUUGCUUGUGACGCCGAUUGAGUUUCUCAGUCUGAUAAAGUCUUCUUGUUUGAGUGGCUUGGUGAAUAUGUCUGCAACUUGGUCUUGAGACUUCACGUACUCAACUUGCACAUCCAUUUGUUGAAUCUUCCAUUUGUUUUGAGCUGCCAAAGAAAUUAGUAAUCUUAUAGUUUCCAAACGAGCAACAGGUGCAAAUACCUCAUCAUAGUCGAUUCCAGCUCUUUGACUAUAGCCUUUCGCCACUAGUCUCGCCUUGUAUCUUUCGACCUCUCCGUUGGCAUUUUUCUUUGUCUUGUACACCCACUUGACUCCGAUGGCUUUGUGUCCUUUUGGAAGAACAGUGAGUUCCCAUGUUUCAUUUUUUCUCGAUUGCUUCGAUUUCUUCAUCCAUUGCUUUCCUCCACUUAGUAUCUUGUACUGCUUCUUGGAAGUCGACUGGUUCACAAUCAGCAAAGAGACAGAAAAGUGUAGGAUUAUCAAGUCUUUCAGCUACCUCAUAGAGAUCUCGUAUACUUCUUGUGCGUGGUACUUCUCUUUCAUUUAGGCUCCCACUUGAUGAUGUUGAUGCUGGUGAAUUGCCAUGAUUGGUUGAUAUUGGUGAAGCAGGUGGAGUAGUGGAUUCUUGUUGAACCUCUCUUGCUUGCUCCAUCGUCCCUUGUUCAUUCUCUUCUUCAAAUUGAGGAAAGAAAUGAAGAUCUCCUGCAUGCGGGCCAAAAUCCCAUUCUUCUUCUUCGUCGAACGUCACGUCUCAACUGAUCACCGUCUUUCCAUUGUUUGGAUUAUACAACUUGUAGCCUUUUGAAUUUGAGUCAUAGCCGAUGAAGAUGAACUUCUCAAUUUUGUCGUCGAGUUUGGUUCUCUUAUCGUUUAAUACAUGUACAUGGGCUAUACUUCCAAAAACACUUAGAUGAGAGAUACCUGGCUUUCUUCCACUCCAUGCUUCUUGCGGAGUCUUUCCCCACACACUUCUUGUUGGAGACCGAUUGGAUAAGUAGACAGCACAUGAUACAGCUUCUGCCCACAUCUCCUUAGGCAAUCUCUUGCUUUUGAUCAUGCUUCGAACCAUGUCGAGGAUAGUUCGAUUUUUUCUUUCUGCCACACCGUUUUGUUGAGGGGAUCUUGGAACUGUCAAAGGUCGACGAAUUCCAUGUUCUUCACAGAAUUCUUGAAAUUCCUUCGAAGUGAAUUCUCCUCCAUGAUCAGAUCUCAUGGCUUUGAUCUUGUAACCACUCUCCUUUUCUACAGCGGCUUUGAACUUCUUGAAUGUUCCAAAGACUUCUGAUUUCUACUUCAAGAAAUAUACCCAGGUUUUUCUUGAAAAAUCAUCAAUGAAGAGAAGGAAAUAAUUAUUUUUACCCAAAGAGCUUGGUUUUAUAGGACCGCACACAUCGGUGUGAAUGAGCUCAAGUGGCUUCUGGGCUCUUGUGGUCGACUCCUUUGGAAAGCUUUUCCUGAAUUGUUUUCCAAGUAAACAUCCUUCACAAACUUGAUCAGGGUGGUUGAUGCACGGUAAUCCUCUCACCAUCUCCUUCUUAGAUAAUAACUCCAAUCCCCCGAAGUUAAGAUGCCCAAAACGAAGAUGCCAAAGCCAAGAUAUGUCUUUGUAACAUAUCUUGAGACACUUUGCAACAUCGUUUUGAAUGUUCAUGGGAAACAUCCUAUUCUUUGACAUUUUCGCCUUGGCAAUUAAUCUUCCUUUGUCAUCUCUAAGAAAAAGGAUAUAAUUUUUUGUAUGAAAAUCAUAACCUUUUUCUAAGAGUUGACCCAAACUCAAAAUGUUGCUUUUCAUAUUGGGCACGUAGUAGACAUUUGAAAUUAAUUGGUGACCGCCAUUUUCAAGGGGAAUAAGGAUGUUACCUUUUCCUUUUACGGGUAUUUUGGAUUCGUCUCCAAAAGAAACGUUGCCACUCACUGAUUCAUUGAGCUCUACGAACACGCUUCUUUUUCCACACAUGUGGUUGCUGGCGCCGGUGUCAAGAUACCAUGUAUAGUCUUGGUCUCCAUCAUUGUUCUUGCAUGCUAGUAGCAUAACGCCAUUCUCUUCUUUAUCUUCUUUCACAUAAUUGACCUUCUCAUCAAGUCUGUUGUUUGGAGCUCUACAUUCCCAAGCAUAAUGCCCAAACUUUUGACAAUUGUAACAUUGAACUUGAGAUUUUUCAUACCUCAAGUUUGAGCGUCCUCUUUCACCACCUUUUGUUGAUCUUUCUCCUCUUUCGUAGUUGCUAUGGUUGUUGAAGUUCCAACUGCGUCCACGUCCAUGUCCACGCCCACGUCCGCGACCUCGGCCACGACUUCUUUCGUAUUGGCUUCUCUCUUUGUCGAAGCUUUCUUCUUUCUUCUUUGGCUGAAUAUGUAUCUUGAGGAGCUAUUCAUCAUUCCAUUGCCUCUUCUUAUGUUUCUCUUCAUAUGCUUGUAGCGAACCCAUUAAUUGCUCUAUACUGAUUUCUUCCAAGUCUUUAGUUUCUUCAAUUGUCACGACAAUGUGCUCGAACUUGGGGUCCAACGAGCGUAGUAUCUUUUCCAUAAUUCUAACAUCUUCUAAUUUUUCACCGUUUCUUUUUAAUUGAUUGGAAACAGCUAAAACUCUUGAGAAGUAAUUGGAGAUUGAUUCAGACCCUUUCAUUUGUAAAGAUUCGAACUCACCUCUUAAUACUUGAAGACGAACCUUUUUCACUUGUUCGGCUCCUUUGUAAGAGGUUUGAAGCUUCUCCCAUGCUUGCUUGGCGGAGGUUGCACUUGAGACCUUCUCAAAACCAUUGUCAUCUAAUGCUUGGUAGAUGAGGUAGAGAGCCUUCUUGUCUCUCUUUCUUGAAUCUUUCAAACUCUCCUUCUGGGGUUGGGGCAGAGUAGCUUCAUCUUCUGGCUCAGUGUAGCCUUUCUCCACGACUUCCCAUACAUCAUGUGCUCCCAAGAGGGCCUUCAUUUUGAUACUCCAAUUAUCGAAGUUGUUGUUGUUGAGCACUGGAACUUGGAAAGCUGCCAUAGCGUUGUUAGCCAUGGCUCUGAUACCACUUUGUUGGGAUUUAAAAGACUUCUCUACUUUGGAGAUGUCUAUCUCACAAAUAAGAAUGUAACACAGCGGAAAUUGAUAGGCAAGAGAAAAAGAAUAUUCAAGGUAACACUCAAAACUUUUCUUAUUCUCACACAAACUAAUACAAGAGAAAUCACUCAAACACUCUUGGAAGCUAUGAAUGCUUCUUCUACUUAUUCUCACUUUAGAGAGCCUUCUUGUCUCUCUUACUUCUUCUUCUUCUUUCUCACUUCUCUUUUCUUCUUCUUAUAUCUUACAUUACAACACACUCACCUAUAUUUAUAGGCAAGCAUAACCAACCAUACCAAGUGUGAAUACCAAGUGUGAAAUCAUCCUAGCCAUUAUUCUUGAUUCUCUUAAAGUAGCCCACCAACAUAGACUUUGCUUAUGAACAUAAUGAACACAUGCCAUAUUCAUGCUAGAAUUGUCUAGCAUUUUCAAUGCAUGCACCGACCAUUCUAGAAGCAAGAUUACCUUUCAACA
rnacentral:lncRNA from 1 species